rnacentral:misc_RNA from 1 species
UUAAAUAUUAUAUAGUACUCAGACGUUAUUAACAGAAGAGUUUAGGUCCUCUGGCGGGCGCGGUCAGCCGAAGCCAACGCCUUGCGGCGGCCCGCCAAAGCAACAAAGAAGGUAGACACGGGUGUAAAUCACGUCUCCCUAAGGCGGUAUUACUACCCACCAUCGCGAGCUUACAUAGAGGUGGACUUAUUACACUCCACUUUCUAUGAAGAAAUCCGGCCUCCCCUUUCGAGGCUACCCGGAUCCAAACGCGAGGAAACUGUCCUACCCUACGAAGGGGGUAUAGGACGACUUAUUAAUGAUCCUUCCGCAGGUUCACCUACGGAAA